CAAUAGUGUAUAUUAAAGUUGUUGCAGUUAAAAAGCUCGUAGUCGAAUGUAGGGUCUUAGAUGCUGAAAUGUCUUUUAUAAUUAGGAGACAAAAUAAUUUUAGCGUGUUAGAUUCUUUUUUACCAAUGCCUUUUUGUUUUUUAUUAAACACAAUCGGUAAAUUGGUAAUUUUUACUGUGAAUAAAUUAGAGUGUUCAUGGCAGGCCUAGGGCUUAAAUAUCUCAGCAUGGAAUAAUAGAAUAGGACUUCUGGUUCUAUUUUAUUGGUUUUUGGAGCCGAAGUAAUGAUUAAUAGGAAUAGUUGGGGGCACUCGUACUCCGUUGUCAGAGGUGAAAUUCUUGGAUUUACGGAAGACGAACAAAUGCGAAAGCAUCUGCCAAGGAUGUUUNCAUUGA
rnacentral:rRNA from 1 species